UUUGAUGGAUCUGUCGGCUGCCUAUUUAAUUUUGAUCGACUGUCCUGGAUGGCCACUCUAAUUCUGGUCAUCGGUCACAAGCUCAUAAAGUAGAUUAACAUCAUAGUCAUUCUUUCUCUUUCUCAAGGUAAUGGAGGAGCCUGCACGCUUUAUUUUUCUUUGGAGCUCCACCCUCGUUGUCAUAUCAACAUAUUUACAGAGAUUAUUUUUUUUGCCUGGAGCGCGUCUUCACAUAUCUAAACUCGGGCAUUUUAAAGUAGAUAUCGAUAGUUCAUCAUUUAUUGACCAUCGUUCAUAGACACAAUAGGAGAGUUAUAUACCAUCUAUAUAGCUUUUUCAUGUAGCAUUAAUUUUACUAUAACACUACCCAAAGAAUACUCGGACAGCAAAAUGCAAUUUAAUUCACUUGCAGCGUCUGGAACCCACACCUG
rnacentral:lncRNA from 1 species